GGCACGACUCUCGGCAAUGGAUAUCUCGGCUCUUGCAUCGAUGAAGAGCGCAGCGAAAUGCGAUACGUGGUGCGAAUUGCAGAAUCCCGCGAACCAUCGAGUCUUUGAACGCAAGUUGCGCCCGAGGCCAACCGGCUGAGGGCACGUCUGCCUGGGCGUCAUGC
rnacentral:rRNA from 2 species